rnacentral:rRNA from 1 species
UACGGGGGGGGCAAGCGUUGUUCGGAAUCACUGGGCGUAAAGCGCACGUAGGCGGAUCUUUAAGUCAGGGGUGAAAUCCCGAGGCUCAACCUCGGAACUGCCUUUGAUACUGGGGAUCUCGAGUCCGGGAGAGGUGAGUGGAACUGCGAGUGUAGAGGUGAAAUUCGUAGAUAUUCGCAAGAACACCGGUGGCGAAGGCGGGUCUCUGGGCCGAUACUGACGCUGAGGAGCGAAAGCGUGGGGAGCAAACAGG